rnacentral:rRNA from 1 species
UACGAGGGGGGCAAAUGUUGUUCGGAAUCACUGGGCGUAAAGGGAGCGUAGGCGGGUUUUUAAGUCAGGUGUUUAAUCCCGGGGCCCAACCCCGGACCGGCACUUGAAACUGGGAAUCUUGAAUAGUGGAGAGGUCAGUGGAAUUGGGGGUGUAGCGGUGGAAUGCGUAGGAGAUCCCCAAGAACACCAGUUGCGAAGGCGGCUCUCUGGGACGGUACUGACGCUGAGACGCGAAAGCGUGGGGAGCAAACAGG